rnacentral:rRNA from 1 species
UACGUAGGGUGCAAGCGUUGUCCGGAAUUAUUGGGCGUAAAGAGCUCGUAGGCGGUUUGUCGCGUCUGCUGUGAAAACUGGAGGCUCAACCUCCAGCCUGCAGUGGGUACGGGCAGACUAGAGUGCGGUAGGGGAGAUUGGAACUCCUGGUGUAGCGGUGGAAUGCGCAGAUAUCAGGAAGAACACCGAUGGCGAAGGCAGAUCUCUGGGCCGUAACUGACACUGAGGAGCGAAAGCAUGGGGGAG